GGGCAUCCUUGGGUGCAGUAUUAGGCUUAGGAAGCCUAUGAAUCCUGUCGAUUGUUAAAUCAAGUUCAGUAAACUUCAGUUUGACCGAAUUAUGCCUUUUAAGUAGUCUUAAAUUUGGUUGGACUGUAUCUGGAAUGCCCCGAAUUUGUAGGUUGUUCCUGCGACUUUGGUCUUCUAAGUCUGCGACUUUACAAUUUGCAGC